GUGAGGAAUAUUGCGCAAUGGGCGAAAGCCUGACGCAGCGACGCCGCGUGGACGAUGAAGGUCUUCGGAUCGUAAAGUCCUUUUCUGCGUGACGAGGAAGGACGGUAGCGCAGGAAUAAGUGUCGGCUAACUACGUGCCAGCAGCCGCGGUAACACGUAGGACGCAAGCGUUAUCCGGAAUUACUGGGCGUAAAGGGCGUGUAGGCGGCACGGUAAGUCAACCGUGAAAGCUCCCGGCUAAACUGGGAGAGGUCGGAUGAGACUGCCGAGCUAGAGGGUCGUAGAGGGGUGUGGAAUUCCGGGUGUAGUGGUGAAAUGCGUAGAGAUCCGGAGGAACACCAGAGGCGAAGGCGGCACCCUGGACGACACCAGACGCUGAGACGCGACAGCACGGGGAGCGAACGGGAUUAGAUACCCUAGUAGUCC
rnacentral:rRNA from 1 species